AGCGAACGCUGGCGGCAGGCCUAACACAUGCAAGUCGAACGAGACCUUCGGGUCUAGUGGCGGACGGGUGAGUAACACGUGGGAACGUGCCUUUAGGUUCGGAAUAACUCAGGGAAACUUGUGCUAAUACCGAAUGUGCCCUUCGGGGGAAAGAUUUAUCGCCUUUAGAGCGGCCCGCGUCUGAUUAGCUAGUUGGUGAGGUAAUGGCUCACCAAGGCUACGAUCAGUAGCUGGUCUGAGAGGAUGAUCAGCCACAUUGGGACUGAGACACGGCCCAAACUCCUACGGGAGGCAGCAGUGGGGAAUCUUGCGCAAUGGGCGAAAGCCUGACGCAGCCAUGCCGCGUGUAUGAUGAAGGUCUUAGGAUUGUAAAAUACUUUCACCGGUGAAGAUAAUGACUGUAGCCGGAGAAGAAGCCCCGGCUAACUUCGUGCCAGCCGCCGCAGUAAAAC
rnacentral:rRNA from 1 species